GUGGGGAAUCUUAGACAAUGGGGGAAACCCUGAUCUAGCCAUGCCGCGUGAGCGAUGAAGGCCUUAGGGUUGUAAAGCUCUUUCAGCUGGGAAGAUAAUGACUGUACCAGCAGAAGAAGCCCCGGCUAACUCCGUGCCAGCAGCCGCGGUAAUACGGAGGGGGCUAGCGUUGUUCGGAAUUACUGGGCGUAAAGCGCACGUAGGCGGACCGGAAAGUCAGAGGUGAAAUCCCAGGGCUCAACCUUGGAACUGCCUUUGAAACUCCUGGUCUUGAGGUCGAGAGAGGUGAGUGGAAUUCCGAGUGUAGAGGUGAAAUUCGUAGAUAUUCGGAGGAACACCAGUGGCGAAGGCGGCUCACUGGCUCGAUACUGACGCUGAGGUGCGAAAGCGUGGGGAGCAAACAGGAUUAGAUACCCCGGUAGUCC
rnacentral:rRNA from 1 species